rnacentral:rRNA from 1 species
UACGUAGGCAGCGAGCGUUGUUCGGAGUUACUGGGCGUAAAGGGUGUGUAGGCGGUUGUUUAAGUUUGGUGUGAAAUCUCCCGGCUCAACUGGGAGGGUGCGCCGAAUACUGAAUGACUUGGAGUGCGGGAGAGGAAAGUGGAAUUCCUGGUGUAGCGGUGAAAUGCGUAGAUAUUGGGAGGAACACCAGUGGCGAAGGCGGCUCACUGGACCGGAACUGACGCUGAGGCGCGAAAGCGUGGGGAGCAAACAGG